CUUCACCUGUAUGCUAAUAGCGUAUUUUUUAAUCCCUUUUAUAUUUUUGGGGUUGUUUUACUCGUAUUUUAGUUUCCUGGUGUCCCCGAGGCAUUCUGGCUGCAGGGCCAGCGCAGGGUGGUUCGUGUCCCCCCCGCAGCAAAACUGCACAGAUCCCAGCGCAAGAUGGAGCAAGACCCCGUCAUCUGCCAGCAAAAUACUGCGCUAAAAGCUUAGGCAAAGAGUGUUCCCACCCAAGGGAUGGUGGAAAGCAAAGGGGGUCCGGGAUGAGGGUGAUGCGGGGACAGAAAGCCUCGUGUCUGACUUGGCUCUCCCCCCAGUGCAGAGGCUGGAUGAUAUUGGAGAUAAGGGCAGAGAUGCAGCAAAGUUGAGCUUAUUGUUACGGAGAGAUGCUCAUCUUCAGCCUCACUGAUUGUUCCAGGGCUUACUCCUGUUAAACAGUACUAAAAGCUUUCCUCAUUUUCUAGGUAAUCAGGUCUUGUGAGUAGUCCUCUUUCUGUCACUGUCACUCAGCUCUUCAAGCACCCAUAGAUAUUUCAAAAGACCCAUUCUUUUCUCUUUCUUUUCCUCAGCAUUCCCUGUUUUCAGCGUUUUCCAGGUUUGGACCGCUCUACUCUGUGCGGGCGCACAGGAAUGCUGCUGUGGCAGGGCCUGGUUAUUGCGCUGUUAUCAAGUUUUAUUCAGCUGGAGAUGCCAGCAGAGCCCAGCGCACAUGCAAUGGGCAAAGGCUGUUUCAGAAGUCUCCCUUGAAGGUAAGCAGAAUGUGCAAGUGAAACCUGCAGGACUCGGCACUUCCAACAGCAGGGAGGAAUCACAUGGAAUACUUGUUGGUGUCAGUGAUGCUUCCUGUGCAAAAAGUUUACUAACUUGUGGCUGGGUGCUACUCAGAGGUGGCGUGUCGUAGUGGGAACCUUACAGCAGAGCCUGGCUAAGCAGGGUUCUUCUUUCCUGGACAGGUUUGUGUUUGCACCAAGCAGAAGGGGUUUCAGCACCAAGUCCUCGCUCUCAGCAGCAACAAGUGCCAGGAGUUGGCCAACCACUACCUUGGCUUUAACGGCUGGUCCAGUCGCAUCAUCACACUGCAGAAUGUAUCUGGCUUUGGUGGUGAGGAUGAGGAAGUGGGAAGGACGUUAGAGAAGCAAUCUGUGAAAUACCUGUGUGCUGUGGAGCUGACGCUGCCCAAACAUGGGGUGUGCACCAGAGGAGUUGCCCUUGCCGAGGCAGACGUAGAGAACAGUGCAGAUCCUCUCGAGUUGCUCACAGCAACAAGAAGAGUUCAGAAACUCGCAGCUGGGAGAGCUUUGUCUAGUGCCUUUCAGAAGAUACUCCUUGUUGUCUUAGAUCCUGAUGCGAUCAGGUCAGUGCCACUGUCUUCAUUCUACAACCUUUCAUCUGCCCGAUUCUUCCCCUGGCUUCUUUAAGGUGUUCGUUUGAAAGAGAAUGGGAAAGUGGCUGUGGAGUACAAUUCCUCCCAGGAGGAGCCCACAGACUCCUUAACAGAAGAGGAGCUGAAGGGGCUUGUGCAGGUGAGAGCAGGGGGUGUUUAGCUUUUGUACAGGACCUGUAUGUUACCUCUGGGGAUUGGAGAUACAGCUGUUGACUGUUACAACCUCUGACAUCCUCCUGUGCAGCAGUUACCUCCACUUAAAUCCCAGGAAGUAAUUACAUCUUGGAAUUGUACAGCAUAUUAAGGUUUUAAAACUCCUACUUUGUGUAUCUGUGGAGAAAUGCAGGUGUAUUUUAAAUGCCACAGGAAAGUGAGAAGUCGGGGUACAGCUUGGUAAGCGUCACACAUGACAGUGUCCAGAACAGCUCUUUAUAGAAUCUGUGAGAGUGAAAAUCCCAGUGAAGUCACAGAAGGUUAAAUCCAAUGGUUUUUUUGCAAUAAGUUUUUAAAUAACUGAAACUCCCCAUCUAGAAAUGCACUUCAUAAAGAGCCUUACACAGAGGGAAUAGUUGUGAAAAGCUUUGGUGAAAUCCCUGCAGGUAACUGAGGGAUCCGUUUGCAUGCACCAAACAGAAAUGCCCCAGUACAACAGCAAAACUUGAGUCAUCGUGCCCAGUGAGGUGAGUUCUGUGUGCCAGCCGCUGCACACAGGCAGGCAUGAGCAGAGGAGCUGCAUCUUGCUUAGUCUGAAAAAGACCGCUGCUUACCAGGGGAGAUCACUGACAUGAUGGUCUUUGGACAAAAAGCAUCACUCUCACAUGGUGCAUCCACACGCCCUGUGAGCAUGGAUGGAAGUGUCUAAGGAACCUUGUGACACGUUACUCUAUUUGGUGACGCUGAGUCACCUAGGAUCCAUGGGCAAAGCUAUUUUCCUCCCUGUAGUAAAACAGGAGGAUUUUGUUCUGUGAAGUAACUAAUGUCCAUCAGAUUAUUUUUUUUUAAGCAGUUGAGAAGAUGAAAUUCCUGCUGGUUUGUUCUCUCUGCGUUUUCCUCUGUACAGCCCCUUCUAUCUUACCUCUCUGAAACCCACAGAGAGCUGACCUCACAUGUGCUGACCAUAGGAGAAGCGAGCAGGGAAGUUAAACAGAAAGCCUGCUGCUUCUCAAACCUCUCUUUUACCACAAGAGCCAUCCCUCUCCUCCCCUGCUGUCUCACUUCCCUUGUGAUGGUGUGUGGGAGGUAAUUCCAACAUGCUCUCUCCACGAGGCACCUUCCAGCCUGAUAGGGAGAGGAACAGACAAGAAUUCAGAAGGACUUGCUUGGGUGGAGAGCUACUGGGUGUCCUCUUGGCUCAUUGCCUUGUGAUCUCAGUCAGUUAUUCUGAAACAGGAAUGUUCCUGAGUUGGUAAAUUCUGGAGAGGCUGCCUCAAAAAUACCCUGUUUGCAGGUGCAGAGAGGUGAAGCUUAAAUAUAUUAUAGAGCAAGAAAUUUACUCUGGAUUUCUCU